UACGAAGGGGGCUAGCGUUGCUCGGAAUCACUGGGCGUAAAGGGCGCGUAGGCGGGUUCUUAAGUCAGAGGGGAAAUCCUGGAGCUCAACUCCAGAACUGCCUUUGAUACUGAGAGUCUUGAGUAUGACAGAGGUGAGUGGAACUGCGAGUGUAGAGGUGAAAUUCGUAGAUAUUCGCAAGAACACCAGUGGCGAAGGCGGCUCACUGGGUCAUUACUGACGCUGAGGCACGAAAGCGUGGGGAGCAAACAGG
rnacentral:rRNA from 1 species